rnacentral:rRNA from 1 species
ACCUAACAGCUAGCCCCACCCCUAAACACAAAACACAACUAUUAAUACCCCCUAACACACUUAACUAAACAAAACAAAUCAUUUUUCCCCCUAAGUAUAGGCGAUAGAAAAGGGCCACCGGAGCUAUAGAUAAAGUACCGCAAGGGAACGCUGAAAGAGAAAUGAAACAACCCAGUUGAAGUACAAAAAAGCAGAGAUCAACCU